GAGCUGUCCUGGGCUGGGUGCCUUGCUCUUUGACUGAGACUGGAGACAGACGGCAACAGCCACAGGCAGACUGAGGUGGCAAUAGGAAAUCUGCCGAGAUGUUCAGUCAGGUGCCCAGGACCCCAGCCUCAGGCUGCUACUACCUAAAUUCCAUGACACCUGAGGGCCAGGAGAUGUACUUGCGAUUUGAUCAGACUACAAGACGCUCUCCUUACAGGAUGAGCCGGAUUCUAGCACGCCAUCAGCUAGUGACUAAAAUUCAACAAGAUAGGAAAGUCUACUGACCUCCUUCCCUGAAAAUUUGGAUCCUCAUAUUAGCAUUCCAUUCCACUUGCUGUACUUUUAGUUGGAAGGUCUAAGGCAGACAAAGCUGCUUAAAUAUUUUUAUCACUGACUUCCUAGAAGAAGGAGGAAAAAAUCUUGGCAAGAAGAAGGGAAAUCAGUCUUGCAGAAUAUCUUGAAGAAGCCUGCGAAGGAAUUCCACUGACUGUGUUCAUUAUCUAUUGGUCCCAAUACUGAGUGGAGGCCGGGUACGGUGGCUCAUGCCUGUAAUCCCAGCACUUUGGGAGGCCAAGGCCGACCUUUAGCCAAAUAUUUAGUCAUCAAUUAAUGUGAACUUCCUGGGUGAUUAUAGGGUAUCUAGUAUAAUGAGAAAGUUGUUUUGUCCCAAAAGGGGAUCAGGAAGCUAAAUUUUAAAAUAACAUAAAUCUAGAGUUAAGUUUG
rnacentral:lncRNA from 1 species